UGGGGAAUCUUGCACAAUGGGGGAAACCCUGAUGCAGCGACGCCGCGUGAGCGAUGAAGCCCCUCGGGGUGUAAAGCUCUUUCGGCAGGGAAGAUUAUGACGGUACCUGCAAAAGCAGCUGCGGCUAACUACGUGCCAGCAGCCGCGGUAAUACGUAGGCAGCAAGCGUUGUUCGGAGUUACUGGGCGUAAAGGGUGCGUAGGCGGCUUUUUAAGUUUGGUGUGAAAUCUCCCGGCUCAACUGGGAGGGUGCGCCGAAUACUGAGAGGCUAGAGUGUGGGAGAGGAAAGUGGAAUUCCUGGUGUAGCGGUGAAAUGCGUAGAUAUCAGGAGGAACACCGGUGGUGUAAACGGCUUUCUGGACCAUAACUGACGCUGAGGCACGAAAGCGUGGGUAGCAAACAGGAUUAGAUACCCUGGUAGUCCACGCCCUAAACGAUGCAUAUUUGGUGUGGGCCAUUCAUUUGGUCUGUGCCGGAGCUAACGCGUUAAA
rnacentral:rRNA from 1 species